rnacentral:misc_RNA from 1 species
GAAAUGCGAUAAGUAAUGUGAAUUGCAGAAUUCAGUGAAUCAUCGAAUCUUUGAACGCACAUUGCACCCGCCAGCACUCUGGCGGGCAUGCCUGUUCGAGCGUCAUUUCAACCCUCAGAACCCCUUGCGGGAUCUGGCGUUGGGGAUUGGCAUCCAGUCAGCCCCGAAAUCUAGUGGCGGUCCCUCCGCGACCUCCCCUGUGCAGUAGCGAUACCUCGCAGCGGGACAGCGGUCUGACCACGCCGUAAAACCCCCAACUUCUCAAGGUUGACCUCGAAUCAGGUAGGAAUACCCGCUGAACUUAAGC